UGGUGGUACAAACACUGCCAGUACAGGUCAUUCUGCGCCAGAGGUGAGCGCUCAUCGGCACACUAGAUUAUCGCCAACCUAAGAGGUGAGCGCUCAUCGGCACACUAGAUUAACGCCAACCUUGGAGGACAAGACAACUGUGUUCCUCCUGCCAACUAGUGAAAACUGCUGCCAGUCACAGGAAAGCCAGGAGAGUUACCUGGACGUCACAUAGCCUUCAUCUCAACACUACGCAGACUCACCCUGUGUGCAUUCUUGAAACUAGCUCCCUUUCCCGCCACCUUUAAACUGGUUUUUGGCAGUGCUGGGGACCAAAGCUGGAGCAUCCUGAAUGCUAGGAACAUUCCGGGCCACUGGAUUAUACCUAAUCCCUAAAAUGUUUUGUUUUUUAAAAAUAAGAGUCCUUCAAGAAUAUACAUGAACUGUUAACUAGUUAAAAAACAACUAUUUAAUAUAGAAUGAUAGUGAUGCUUUCCUUUGGGAUAUUUUGCUUUUUUUUUUUUCUUAAAGAUCCUACA